GCCAGCAUGGUGUAGUGGUUUGAAGGUUAGACUAUGAAUCUGGAGAUCAGGGUUUGAAUCCCUACUCAGUAA